GUUAGCUCAGUUGGUAGAGCAUCUGACUUUUAAUCAGAGGGUCGCUGGUUCGAACCCAGCACGGCUCA
rnacentral:tRNA from 2 species